AUUUUAACUUCUAAAGCUCACAUCACCUCUGCCCCUUCAAUUUCUGCAAAAAAAGAAAAUAGCAUAACAACUAAAUUCAGAGGGGAAAAAAGACAUUAACUUCUAAAUUAAUAUAAAAACCUCUCCUCUGACUCUGAGCCAUUGUCCCAAAGUGUGGCAGAUUGUUGAUGAAAUGGAUCAUAUCGAUGAAGAAACUAAGCGUGUCGACGAAGAAGAAAGUGGUGAGAUGAUUGUUGCAGGCCUCAAUCUUGUUUUGAUCAUGUCUUUCCUAUCAUUGUCUGCGGAAGAUCGUUCAAAUUUCGACCAAAUCCCAGAAAUCAAAACGUCGGAUUUUGAUCAUAAAUAUAAGCAUGGCGUGUCCGAAUCGAGCUUUCCGGCAAGAAGGCAGCGAGUGAACCGGUUUCCGGCCAUCGAGAGGGAAACGACGUCGUCUAGGGUUCAUACCAAGAUAAGGGACUCCAGGCAUUGCAGAAGAUUCUGAAUUUCCAAGAACGAAGCAUGCAUUGUACAUCUAGAUGGACCAAUUUUGUAUUCGUAAUUUACAAGCCUUGUUUCUUUGAGGCAAGCUAGAUAGGAUAAGAGAAGAGAUCAAACUGUUUGUAGUUGGAUAAAUCAUUGUUGACACAAAGAAAUAGGAAAUGAUUGUCCUAAAUUGGAUUUGAAGGA